UAUCCUACGGGACGCAGCAGUGGGGAAUAUUGCACAAUGGGGGAAACCUUGAUGCAGCAACGCCGCGUGAAGGAAGACGGUUGUCGGAUUGUAAACUUCUGUUCUUAGUGAAGAAAAAUGACGGUAGCUAAGGAGCAAGCCACGGCUAACUACGUGCCAGCAGCCGCGGUAAUACGUAGGUGGCAAGCGUUGUCCGGAAUUACUGGGUGUAAAGGGAGCGCAGGCGGGAAGCCAAGUCAGCUGUGAAAACUACGGGCUUAACUUGUAGACUGCAUUUGAAACUGGGUUUCUUGAG
rnacentral:rRNA from 1 species